rnacentral:rRNA from 1 species
UAAGUUACUAAGAGCACACGGGGGAUGCCUAGGCUCUCAAAGGCGAAGAAAGACGUGAUAAGCUGCGAUAAGGUUCGGGGAGAAGCAAAUAUUUUGUGAUCCGGACAUUUCUGAAUGGGGAAACCCGUCUGGUUGAAGACCAGUCAUCCGAAAGGAGGCAAACGCACUGAACUGAAACAUCUAAGUAGGUGCAGGAAGAGAAAACAAUAGUGAUUUCCGUAGUAGCGGCGAGCGAAGUGGAAAUAGCCCAAACCGUUUUUGUUUCGGCAAAAUCGGGGUUGUAGGACUACAAUAUCCGUAAUAAAGUAUAGUGGAACAAGUUGGAAAGCUUGGCAAUAUGAGUGAUAGCCUCGUACACGAAAUGCUUUAGAAGGUAGUAGUAUCCUGAGUAGGGCGGGACAUGUGAAAUCCUGUCUGAAUCUGCCAGAACCAUCUGGUAAGGCUAAAUACUCUUGAGAGACCGAUAGCGAACUAGUACCGUGAGGGAAAGGUGAAAAGAACCCUGAAUAAGGGAGUGAAAUAGAUCCUGAAACCAUACGCUUACAAGCGGUCGGAGCAGACUUGAUCUGUGACGGCGUGCCUUUUGCAUAAUGAGCCUACGAGUUACCGUUGCUAGCAAGGUUAAGUGAUUAAGUCACGGAUCCGUAGCGAAAGCGAGUCUGAAUAGGGCGUUUUAGUUAGUAGUGGUAGACGCGAAACCGUGUGAUCUACCCAUGGGCAGGGUGAAGCUGUAGUAACAUACAGUGGAGGCCCGAACCGAUAUACGUUGAAAAGUGUUCGGAUGACCUGUGGGUAGGGGUGAAAGGCCAAUCAAACUCGGAAAUAGCUCGUACUCCCCGAAAUGCAUUUAGGUGCAGCGUUGAUUUAUAGUUUUAUAGAGGUAGAGCUACUGAUUGGAUGCGGGGGCUUCACCGCCUACCAAUUCCUGACAAACUCCGAAUGCUAUAAAAUGUUAAUCAGCAGUGAGGGCAUGGGUGCUAAGGUCCAUGUCCGAGAGGGAAAGAACCCAGACCUUCAGCUAAGGUCCCAAAAUCUAUACUAAGUUGAACUAAGGCGGUCCAGUUGCAUAGACAGCCAGGAUGUUGGCUUGGAAGCAGCCAUUCAUUUAAAGAGUGCGUAACAGCUCACUAGUCGAGCGGUUCAGCAUGGAUAAUAAUCGGGCAUAAACAUAUUACCGAAGCUAUGGACUUGAAAAAGUGGUAGGGGAGCAUUGUAGUGUCGUCGAAGGUGUACUGCGAGGUAUGCUGGAGAAGCUACAAAAGAAAAUGUAGGCAUAAGUAACGAUAAUGCGGGCGAGAAACCCGCACUCCGAAAGACUAAGGUUUCCUCAGCUAUGCUAAUCAGCUGAGGGUUAGUCGGGGCCUAACGCGAACCCGAAAGGGGUAGUGGAUGG